rnacentral:misc_RNA from 1 species
GGGCGAGUGAAGCGGCAAAAGCUCAAAUUUGAAAUCUGGCUCUUUCAGAGUCCGAGUUGUAAUUUGAAGAAGGUAUCUUUGGGUCUGGCUCUUGUCUAUGUUUCUUGGAACAGAACGUCACAGAGGGUGAGAAUCCCGUGCGAUGAGAUGAUCCAGGCCUAUGUAAAGUUCCUUCGAAGAGUCGAGUUGUUUGGGAAUGCAGCUCUAAGUGGGUGGUAAAUUCCAUCUAAAGCUAAAUAUUGGCGAGAGACCGAUAGCGAACAAGUACAGUGAUGGAAAGAUGAAAAGAACUUUGAAAAGAGAGUGAAAAAGUACGUGAAAUUGUUGAAAGGGAAGGGCUUGAGAUCAGACUUGGUAUUUUGUAUGUUACUUCUUCGGGGGUGGCCUCUACAGUUUAUCGGGCCAGCAUCAGUUUGGGCGGUAGGAGAAUUGCGUUGGAAUGUGGCACGGCUUCGGUUGUGUGUUAUAGCCUUCGUCGAUACUGCCAGCCUAGACUGAGGACUGCGGUUUAUACCUAGGAUGUUGGCAUAAUGAUCUUAAGUCGCCCGUCUUGACCCACCGAACCAAA